rnacentral:tRNA from 1 species
GGAGGGGUCGCAUAGUGGCCUAGUGCGGGCGUUUGCUAAACGCCUAUCUCAAUUAUUUGGGAUCGAGGGUUCGAAUCCCUCCUCCUCCG